AUUGAACGCUGGCGGCAUGCCUUACACAUGCAAGUCGAACGGCAGCACGGGAGCAAUCCUGGUGGCGAGUGGCGAACGGGUGAGUAAUACAUCGGAACGUGCCCAAUCGUGGGGGAUAACGCAGCGAAAGCUGUGCUAAUACCGCAUACGAUCUACGGAUGAAAGCAGGGGAUCGCAAGACCUUGCGCGAAUGGAGCGGCCGAUGGCAGAUUAGGUAGUUGGUGAGGUAAAGGCUCACCAAGCCGUCGAUCUGUAGCUGGUCUGAGAGGACGACCAGCCACACUGGGACUGAGACACGGCCCAGACUCCUACGGGAGGCAGCAGUGGGGAAUUUUGGACAAUGGGCGAAAGCCUGAUCCAGCCAUGCCGCGUGCAGGAUGAAGGCCUUCGGGUUGUAAACUGCUUUUGUACGGAACGAAACGGCCUUUUCUAAUAAAGAGGGCUAAUGACGGUACCGUAAGAAUAAGCACCGGCUAACUACGUGCCAGCAGCCGCGGUAAUACGUAGGGUGCAAGCGUUAAUCGGAAUUACUGGGCGUAAAGCGUGCGCAGGCGGUUAUGUAGACAGUUGUGAAAUCCCCGGGCUCACCUGGGAACUGCAUCUGUGACUGCAUAACUGAGUACGGACAGGGGGAGGGAAUUCCCGUGUAGAAAUGAAAUGCGUGGAAUACGGAGGAACCCCCAUGCCCCCGCCCCCCCCCGGGGGGCGAGAGGGGGUGUGGAUGGAGCGGGGGGGCAUAGGGGAGGAUACAAACAAUUUUUUCUGGGGAACUAGGCUGGAGGGCCGGGGGGGGCACCUCGCGCCCCCAGGGGGGUUGUGUUCGCGUGGUUGUUUCUCUCUCUUCCCCCCUUUGAGGGUACACCCACCGCUGGUUAUUUUUUUUUUCC
rnacentral:rRNA from 1 species